UUCUAUCACGGUUACGAUCAAAGUAGUU
rnacentral:sRNA from 1 species